UCUCUCCUCUCUUUUCCUUCUUCUUUUCUUUCUCCAAAUUCAGGAAGUUUUUGAGAGUACGAGUGAAGAGAGCGAGAGAAAAGAGAGCGAAAUUCCCCAUCCAACAAUCCUCUUUCUUCAAAAUGGGCCAACAAAACAUCAACAUCUCCGACAUCAACAGAAAUCUCUUUUUCUUUUUCUUCUCCAUAAGAGAAACAAACCAAGAGAAGAAAAAGU
rnacentral:ribozyme from 13 species